rnacentral:rRNA from 1 species
UACGAAGGGUGCAAGCGUUACUCGGAAUUACUGGGCGUAAAGGGCGCGUAGGCGGCCUGUUAAGUCGAACGUGAAAUCCCCGGGCUCAACCCGGGAACUGCGUCCGAUACUGGCAGGCUUGAAUCCGGGAGAGGGAUGCGGAAUUCCAGGUGUAGCGGUGAAAUGCGUAGAUAUCUGGAGGAACACCGGUGGCGAAGGCGGCAUCCUGGACCGGCAUUGACGCUGAGGCGCGAAAGCCAGGGGAGCAAAACGGGG